ACGAAAUGUAAGACUAUACAAGUCGAGUACUUCACAUUCACGGGGCAAUGGCCCAUAAUCGAAAGUUUAUUUUGGUUGAGAAAAAAAAGGGGGAUCUCCCCUGUCUGGAUUGUGUAUACUACGCUGCCGACGGGGGUAUCCGAGAUGGGUUUUCCCUGAGAAAGUAUGUACAUGUGAUCAAUUAACCGAUCCACCAAACAUCGGGGCGACCGACGUACCAAACUUGGGGCAAGAAACCAGCGGAGUCGCUGACAUUCACAUUGGUUCGCGCGCAAAUGGUACAAAAAUUGGGUCAAGUUUGCGAUCUCUCUUUUUGCAGGCAUCGCGGUGCAGUAAUAUAGUUACGACGUAUAGCGUAUGCGUAUUAAGUUUUUUAACGAUCGAACGAUCGUCGUAAAUUAACGAACGUGGUUCUUUCACCUAUUCGCGAAUCACGUCUCAUAUAUAUGACGUAUUUCUUACACGUCGUGAUAUGCGAAAUAAACGAAGUCGAUCGGUAAAAAUGAUCAACAACAAUUGUUUAUUUUGUUGAUGUUUUUCGACGGAAAUCUAAUCUCUCGCUUACGAGUAAUUUCCCAGAUGUAGAAUUGCUAUGUACGGGACUUCCGUUAAAUCCAUCAAUAAUAAAUUUAUACCUCGCCCUUUUACGGCUCCAACCUUGACGCUUUGUCUCGAUUUCGAUGAUUUGCAUAAAUUUUGUGACAAGUUUUCAGGAUUGAUUUGAUAAAAUGCACCGCGAACUGUGAUAUCGUAUAGAUUUCCUGAUGGUAUCGACUUGCAGUCGUUUGGUUCUUACGAAAUGUAGAUAAAGGGUUCAAAAAUCAGAGUUGAUGUAUAUAUAAAUAGAAUUAUCAACAAAUCUUAUCGCGCUAAUAGGUAUUUACUUUUCACGUUGUAAUCUCAUAAUAUGCCAACGGAUUAAAAACUAUGUCAGCUGAUGGAAGGACGUAAUUGAUUAAAUUGAUCAAAUUAGAAAUAGGUCAAGUGUAUUAUGAGGACCCCUAGCUGUAUUAAAAUGCACACGAGUCAUUCACUUCCUAACCUGUAGUAGUUACCGUACUGCAGACUGACACUCUCAUUAUCAGCAUCCCGAAACGGUAAAAAAUGAUAAUCAUCAAGGAACAAUUAAAUCUGCGAAUUUAGGUACACGACCGCCGUAUGAAAUACAGGAUGAGGACUAGGAGAUAAAAAACAUUCAUGUAUCGUCAUACCAACGUAUCGGACUAAAAGUAUUGCUAUAGCGUAGAUAUAUUGAACUUUGUAGUGUUUGAUCGAUGAGUUAAUCGAAGUGAUAAAUUUCUCCCAUUUUAUAGUGAAAUCCAGAGAAUAUGUCUCCAUAAAUCUUUGCAGAGUUGACUAAUCCAUACGGCACGAGUAUGAUGUACUUGCGAUUUUGCUUUAUAAGUUGAUUCACCGCCCAAGCCAAAAAACUAUAACCGGCAGUAAUAAAUAUCGCGAUGCAAAUUAGCGGGUGAAUUAUUAGAACACUUCGAGAAACGAACAGGGGAUUAAUGGAAUCGACUGGUGCGAUGUGCACAUAUUCAUGAAAUAUAUAAAAUUAACGCGACAGACUUGAAUGGUUUCACAAAAUUUAGUUGUAAUGCGGAUCUAAUUGAAGAUAAAAAUAAGAUAUAUAGAUAAGAAAGGCGAACAACAAGCCGAAAAUGUACUCCAUUGAAUAAUUUAACACUGCUUCGACUCAUUUAUUUUACUCAAAUGAAAGGAGUUGUAAGAAAAGGUCUUAUGUGGUUUAUGGGGUAAAAAAACUUGGCGCUACCAAAUUAACUUUCGGGUGAUCCUAAAAAGUGGAAUCAGGGUAAGAUCAGUUUCUCAAAUGAAAUACACCAUGUACUCUGCAUAUCGGAAUCGAAUAGAGUGGAAAAUUUUAUGCGAAGAAUAAUGUUGACCUAUUUUCAUUUACCUAAAGUCAUAAUAUAGAUACAGCGAUAAGGUAUCUGUAACUGUUGGAACAAUCUGAAUCUAGAUGAUAUGCUCAAAGUUUCCAUUUGAUGAAACUGAAACUUUUUCAAUUCAAUGUUGAUUGAGAGGAUAUUGUAUGUGCAUGUAUAGUAUUCUAUGUGUGUCAAUUACUGAUCGAAAUGAAAGACUUGCAAUUUU
rnacentral:lncRNA from 1 species